rnacentral:rRNA from 1 species
AACGAACGCUGGCGGCAUGCCUAACACAUGCAAGUCGAACGAGACCUUCGGGUCUAGUGGCGCACGGGUGCGUAACGCGUGGGAACCUGCCCUUAGGUUCGGAAUAACUCCCCGAAAGGGGUGCUAAUACCGGAUAAUGUCUUCGGACCAAAGAUUUAUCGCCUUUGGAUGGGCCCGCGUUGGAUUAGCUAGUUGGUAGGGUAAAAGCCUACCAAGGCGACGUUCCAUAGCUGGUCUGGGAAGAUGAUCAGCCACACUGGGACUGAGACACGGCCCAGACUCCUACGGGAGGCAGCAGUGGGGAAUAUUGGACAAUGGGCGAAAGCCUGAUCCAGCAAUGCCGCGUGAGUGAUGAAGGCCUUAGGGUUGUAAAGCUCUUUUACCCGGGAUGAUAAUGACAGUACCGGGAGAAUAAGCUCCGGCUAACUCCGUG